GGUUGGCUCAGUGGUUAAGAGCACUGACUGUUCUUCCAGAAGUCCUGAGUUCAAUUCCCAGCAACCA
rnacentral:tRNA from 1 species